GCUGAGGCUGAUUUUCUAGUAUUGACCAAAGGGUUAGGACUCUUCUAAAGAGAAUUAGUAGAGAUCCUAGUAGCAACUCAAAGGCAACUGUUAUAAGUUUCUGCAAGAAUGCUAGAAAACUCAAAGUAGAUUUCCAAGGACUGUCUUCUUGAUGCUCUCUUUGGCUGCUCAGAUGGGCUACAUGCACUUUGGCACAGUCAAGAUAUAUGGUUCUGAGGCUGCCCUUAUAAACACUUUAACAGAGACGUACGUUUCAAGAUGGGACUAUAAAA